rnacentral:rRNA from 1 species
CUACGGGCGGCUCCAGUGGGGAAUAUUGCACAAUGGAGGAAACUCUGAUGCAGCAACGCCGCGUGGAGGAUGACACUUUUCGGAGCGUAAACUCCUUUUAUAUAGGAAGAAGAUGACGGUACUAUAUGAAUAAGCGCCGGCUAACUCCGUGCCAGCAGCCGCGGUAAUAGGGAGGGCGCAAGCGUUACUCGGAAUCACUGGGCGUAAAGAGCGUGUAGGCGGAUUAAAAAGUCAGAAGUGAAAUCCUAUAGCUUAACUAUAGAACUGCUUCUGAAACUCUUAAUCUAGAAUAUGGGAGAGGUAGAUGGAAUUUCUGGUGUAGGGGUAAAAUCCGUAGAGAUCAGAAGGAAUACCGAUUGCGAAGGCGAUCUACUAGAACAUUAUUGACGCUGAGACGCGAAAGCGUGGGGAGCAGACAGGAUUAGAUACCCGCGUAGUC